GCCCGGGUGGUGAAAUUGGUAGACACAAGGGACUUAAAAUCCCUCGGAGAUUAAACUCUGUGCCGGUUCGAGUCCGGCCCCGGGCACCA
rnacentral:tRNA from 1 species